rnacentral:tRNA from 5 species
AGGAGGGUUCCUUUAUUGGUAAGAAGGGUUGAGCUGUAAACUCAAUAGCUACAUCGGCUUUAAGAGUUCGAAUCUCUUGUCUCCUA